rnacentral:piRNA from 1 species
UGGAAGUAGGGAAGCCACAUCUUUGUGUGU